ACUCCUACGGGAGGCAGCAGUGGGGGAAUAUUGCACAAUGGGGGAAACCCUGAUGCAGCCAUGCCGCGUGUGUGAAGAAGGCCUUCGGGUUGUAAAGACACUUUCAGUAGGGAGGAAGGUAGUGAGUUCAGUCAAUACUGGCCGCUCAUUUAGUCGUUAGCCUACAGAAGAAGCACCGGCUAACUCCGUGCCAGCAGCCGCGGUAAUACGGAGGGUGCGAGCGUUAAUCGGAAUUACUGGGCGUAAAGCGCAUGCAGGCGGCCUUGUUAAGUCAGAUGUGAAAGCCCGGGGCUUAACCUCGGAAUUGCAUUUGAAACUGGCGGACUAGA
rnacentral:rRNA from 1 species